rnacentral:tRNA from 1 species
GCGCCCGUAGCUCAGCGGAUAAGAGCAAAGAGCUUCUACCUCUUGGGUCGGGGGUUCGAUUCCCUCCGGGCGCA